GACGAACGCUGGCGGCGUGCUUAACACAUGCAAGUCGAACGGAAAGGCCCCUCUGGGGUUGCUCGCGCGGCUGACGGGUGGGUAACUCACGAGUAAGCUACCUUUCACUUCCUUUUAACUUCAGUAAAGUAGCGCGAGUACCUGACAGGAAUCCUUUCCGCCUGCAAGGUGUUGGAAAGCUUCGGCGGUUUGGGGUGGACUCACGGCUUAUCAGCUUGCUGGUGGGGGAGGGGGUUACCAAGGCUUUGACGGGCAGCCGGCCUGGGAGGGCGAACGGCCAAAUUGGGACUGGGAUACGGCCCAGACCCCUACGGGGGGCAGGAGGGGGGAAUAUUGGAAAAUGGGCGGGAGCCUGAUGCAGCAACGCCGCGUGCGGGAUGACGGCCUUCGGGUUGUAAACCGCUUUCAGCAGGGGCGAAGCUGGUGGUGACGGUACCUGCAGAAGAAGCACCGGCUAACUACGUG
rnacentral:rRNA from 1 species